rnacentral:rRNA from 1 species
GACGAACGCUGGCGGCGUGCUUAACACAUGCAAGUCGAACGGUGAAGCUCCAGCUUGCUGGAGUGGAUCAGUGGCGAACGGGUGAGUAACACGUGAGCAACCUGCCCCUGACUCUGGAAUAAGCGCUGGAAACGGCGUCUAAUACUGGAUACGAGAAGGGUCCGCAUGGGCACUUUCUGGAAAGUUUUUCGGUUGGGGAUGGGCUCGCGGCCUAUCAGCUUGUUGGUGAGGUAAUGGCUCACCAAGGCGACGACGGGUAGCCGGCCUGAGAGGGCGACCGGCCUCACUGGGACUGAGACACGGCCCAGACUCCUACGGGAGGCAGCAGUGGGGAAUAUUGCACAAUGGGCGAAAGCCUGAUGCAGCGACGCCGCGUGAGGGAUGACGGCCUUCGGGUUGUAAACCUCUUUCAGCAGGGAUGAAGCGAAAGUGACGGUACCUGCAGAAGAAGCACCGGCUAACUACGUG